rnacentral:rRNA from 1 species
UGUCACCUACGGGGCGCAGCAGUGAGGAAUAUUGGUCAAUGGCCGAGAGGCUGAACCAGCCAAGUAGCGUGCAGGAUGACGGCCCUCCGGGUUGUAAACUGCUUUUAGUUGGGAAUAAAAGGGGGCUCGUGAGCCCCGUAUUGUAUGUACCAUCAGAAAAAUGACCGGCUAAUUCCGUGCCAGCAGCCGCGGUAAUACGGAAGGUCCGGGCGUUAUCCGGAUUUAUUGGGUUUAAAGGGAGCGUAGGCCGGCUUUUAAGUCAGCUGUGAAAGUCCGCGGCUCAACCGUGGAAUUGCAGUUGAAAC